rnacentral:rRNA from 1 species
CCCGCUGAACUUAAGCAUAUCAAUAAGCGGAGGAAAAGAAACUAACAAGGAUUCCCCUAGUAACUGCGAGUGAAGCGGGAAAAGCUCAAAUUUAAAAUCUGGCGGUCUUGCGGCCGUCCGAGUUGUAAUCUGGAGAAGCGUUUAUCCGCGUCGGACCGUGUACAAGUCUUCUGGAAGGGAGCGUCGUAGAGGGUGAGAAUCCCGUCUUUGACACGGACAACCGGUGCUUUUGUGAUGCGCUCUCGAAGAGUCGAGUUGUUUGGGAAUGCAGCUCAAAAUGGGUGGUAAAUUCCAUCUAAAGCUAAAUAUUGGCGAGAGACCGAUAGCGAACAAGUACCGUGAGGGAAAGAUGAAAAGCACUUUGGAAAGAGAGUUAAACAGUACGUGAAAUUGUUGAAAGGGAAGCGCUUGAAGUCAGUCACGUUGACCAGGGAUCAACCUUGCUUUCUCUGCUUGGUGUACUUUCUGGUUGAUGGGUCAGCAUCAAUUUUGGCCGGUGGAAAAAGAUCAGGGGAAUGUGGCAUCUUCGGAUGUGUUAUAGCCCUUGGUUGCAUACAUUGGUUGGGAUUGAGGAACUCAGCACGCCGCAAGGCCGGGUUUUUAACCACGUUCGUGCUUAGGAUGCUGGCAUAAUGGCUUUAAUCGACCCGUCUUGAAACACGG